UACGUAGGGUGCGAGCGUUGUCCAGAAUUAUUGGGCGUAAAGAGCUCGUAGGCGGUUUGUCGCGUCUGCUGUGAAAACCCGAGGCUCAACCUCGGGCCUGCAGUGGGUACGGGCAGACUAGAGUGCGGUAGGGGAGAAUGGAACUCCUGGUGUAGCGGUGGAAUGCGCAGAUAUCAGGAAGAACACCGAUGGCGAAGGCAGUUCUCUGGGCCGUAACUGACGCUGAGGAGCGAAAGCGUGGGGAGCGAACAGG
rnacentral:rRNA from 1 species